UUAUAGACGUCCGACCACCCCCCCACACCGGACGUCUAAGAGGCUGAACAAAUGAACGCUUCAACUCCCCUGUCAGCCCCUUAAACGUCCGUGGUGGAGGGGGCCGGACGUCUAUAA
rnacentral:pre_miRNA from 1 species